ACUAAGUAGAAUACCAUCCUGAAUGUGCCUGAUCUUGAAAGCUAAACAGGGUUGGGUCUGGUGAGUACUUUGAUGAGAAACUGUCUGGGAAUACCAGGUGCUGGAC
rnacentral:rRNA from 1 species